rnacentral:lncRNA from 1 species
AUGCACAUUAUUCUAAAACAUAAUUUGUACUUCUCUAUUAUGUUAAGAGUUUAUCCCCUAAUGUAUACAUACAUCCGCUGGAUCAUGGAAAAAGCAAGAGAGUUCCAGAAAAACAUCUAUUUCUGCUCUAUUGACUAUGCCAAAGCCUUUGACUGUGUCGAUCACAAUAAACUGUGGAAAAUUCUGAAAGAGAUGGGAAUACCAGACCAUCUAACCUGCCUCUUCAGAAAUCUGUAUGCAGGUCAGGAAGCAACAGUUAGAACUGGACAUGGAACAGACUGGUUCCAAAUAGGAAAAGGAGUACGUCAAGGCUAUAUAUUGUCACCCUGCUUGUUUAACUUAUAUGCAGAGUAUAUCAUGAGAAACGCUAGACUGGAAGAAACACAAGCUGGAAUCAAGAUUGCCGGCAGAAAUAUCAAUAACCUCAGAUAUGCAGAUGACACCACCUUUAUGGCAGAGAGUGAAGAGGAGCUAAAAAGCCUCUUGAUGGAAGUGAAAGAGGAGAGCGAAAGAGUUGGCUUAAAGCUCAACAUUCAGAAAACGAAGAUCAUGACAUCUGGUCCCAUCACUUCAUGGCAAAUAGAUGGGGAAACAGUGGAAACAGUGUCGGACUUUAUUUUUUGGGGCUCCAAAAUCACCACAGAUGGUGACUGCAGCCAUGAAAUUAAAAGACGCUUACUCUUUGGAAGAAAAGUUAUGGCCAACCUAAAUAGUAUAUUCAAUAGCAGAGACAUUACUUUGCCGACUAAGGUCCAUCUAGUCAAGGCUAUGGUUUUUCCUGUGGUCAUGUAUGGAUGUGAGAGUUGGACUGUGAAGAAGGCUGAGUGCCAAAGAAUUGAUGCUUUUGAACUGUGGUGUUGGAGAAGACUCUUGAGAGUCCCUUGGACUGCAAGGAGAACCAGCCAGUCCAUUCUGAAGGAGAUCAGCCCUGGGAUUUCUUUGGAAGGAAUAAUCCUGAAGCUGAAACUCCAGUACUUUGGCCACCUCAUGCGAAGAAUUGACUCACUGGAAAAGACUCUGAUGCUGGGAGGGAUCGGGGGCAGGAGGAGAAGGGGACGACCGAGGAUGAGAUGGCUGGAUGGCAUCACUGACUUGAUUGACAUGAGUCUGGGUGAACUCUGGUAG